AUUGAACGCUGGCGGCAGGCUUAACACAUGCAAGUCGAGCGAGUGGCGGACGGGUGAGUAAUGUCUGGGAAACUGCCUGAUGGAGGGGGAUAACUACUGGAAACGGUAGCUAAUACCGCAUACCCUCAGAUGUGCCCAGAUGGGCUUAGCUAGUAGGUGGGGUAAUGGCUCACCUAGGCGACGAUCCCUAGCUGGGCUGAGAGGAUGACCAGCCACACUGGAACGGAGACACGGUCCAGACUCCUACGGGAGGCAGCAGUGGGGAAUAUUGCACAAUGGGCGCAAGCCUGAUGCAGCCAUGCCGCGUGUGUGAAGAAGGCCUUCGGGUUGUAAAGUACUUUCAGCGAGGAGGCGUUACUCGAAGAAGAAGCACCGGCUAACUCCGUGCCAGCAGCCGCGGUAAUUG
rnacentral:rRNA from 1 species